AGUGAACGUUGGCGGCGUGCCUAACACAUGCAAGUCGAACGCAUCUUGGGGGCAACUCCAAGGUGAGUGGCGAACGGGUGAGUAACACGUGGGUAAUCUCCCCCCGGGUGAGGAAUAAGCCCCCGAAAGGGGGUCUAAUACCGCAUGACGCCAUGGGGCAUAUGCUUCCAUGGCCAAAGCCGUAAGGCGCCUGAGGAUGAGCCUGCGUCCUAUUAGCUAGUUGGUAGGGUAACGGCCUACCAAGGUUAUGAUGGGUAGCCGGCCUGAGAGGGUGAUCGGCCACACUGGGACUGAGACACGGCCCAGACUCCUACGGGUGGCAG
rnacentral:rRNA from 1 species